GACGAACGCUGGCGGCGUGCUUAACACAUGCAAGUCGAACGGAAAGGCCCUGCUUUUGUGGGGUGCUCGAGUGGCGAACGGGUGAGUAACACGUGAGUAACCUUCCCUUGACUUUGGGAUAACUUCAGGAAACUGGGGCUAAUACCGGAUAGGAGCUCCUGCUGCAUGGUGGUGGUUGGAAAGUUUCGGCGGUUGGGGAUGGACUCGCGGCUUAUCAGCUUGUUGGUGGGGUAGUGGCUUACCAAGGCUUUGACGGGUAGCCGGCCUGAGAGGGUGACCGGCCACAUUGGGACUGAGAUACGGCCCAGAAUCCUACGGGAGGCAGCAGUGGGGAAUAUUGCACAAUGGGCGGAAGCCUGAUGCAGCAACGCCGCGUGCGGGAUGACGGCCUUCGGGUUGUAAACCGCUUUCGCCUGUGACGAAGCGUGAGUGACGGUAAUGGGUAAAGAAGCACCGGCUAACUACGUG
rnacentral:rRNA from 1 species